GGGCACAUAGCUCAAUGGUAGAGCUCAUGCUUAAUAGGCAUGUAGCUCUUGGCUCAAUGCCCAGUACCACCA
rnacentral:tRNA from 1 species